GUUUGUAUUGUGGAGAGUAUGUUUCCAUGCUCUGUGUGUACUAUUUAGCAGUCUGUAGUGGUCAGCCUGUAAGCAGGCCACCCUCUAUAAUACAGCCAGGUUAAUGGGCCCCAAAGUCUCCAUAGCAUGUGUUUGGACCUGUGUUAGCAGACCACCUCUUUAGUACAGCCACUGUUGGUCUGCCCACUGUGUAAGCAGAGAUCACUAUACCAUAUAUCAUGCAUGUACACUGUAUGACCUGUGCUCUAUUACUGUAGGAGGUUUUGGAGGAGCUUGGAAAGUUUAAGAGUGCUCUGAGGAAGUAUUUCAACAGCAAAGAUCAGUCGUGUGUCAUCUUCGAGAGAAACUACAAAUCACAGCAUCUUCAACUACAGGUUAUUCCAGUGACCAAGAUUCCAUCUGAUGCUCUGAGACAAGCCUUCAUAGAUUAUGGGCGGAGUAUGGGGGUGUGGCUUGAGACUGUGCCCAGGGAAACACCACCCUCAGAGGUAACACACACACAUCAUAGUUGUACCAUGUUCUACGUACCAUUCUCUAAGCCUUUUAUAGCCUCGAUUCCAGGCCAAUUAAAAUACGGCCUGGUACCGAUUGCAUGGUGAUAGUGCGCAUGCGUUAGUUUAUUUACCAGAAUCCCCUUUUUUCUUUCUCUCAUCUAUUUUGUAUCUAUGUACAUCAGCUUAGUAUUGCGUACACUGGUGUCCCAUACUUCCUGGCAGAGUUUGAUGAUGGGGGAAAUGUGUUCACAAGACCAUUUUCUUACCAACUCACGCAGACAAACAACCAGAUCACUGAAUAUAGGUUAUAGUAUGUUUCUACUACUGUGAGCUCAUGAGGUAAACAGCACUCUCAAGUGAGUAGGUAAGAACAUAUUCGUGAGUCUCGUCACACCGACAAUGCACACCUCUAACCUUUCUAUUGCAUACUCAGCAAAUGUCUCUUCCACAAAUCUGUCAUCAUACCUAUCGAGUGAACACACAAACUGUUCUAGUUCCUGGAACAAUACGUACGGACGUCUCUCUCCAAUUUGGAAGGGAGGUGUUGGCUGCUCCUCUCGUUCUGAAUCUGCCCAAUUGGAUCAACUGGAAGUCGUGUCUGGCAACAAAGGACAAGGAGACGAAAGCUGCUCUAGAAAUGAGGAAGAACUUUGAACCAUGUUAUUUUGAUUUCACAUAACUGACAACGAUGAUUAAUUUCUUUAUUUUCACUUUUACUUUUGUAUAAUUGACGUUUUGUGUAUUAGCUAGUUGUCCAAUAAUAAUUAUGGUUGGCCAUAUAUAUUAUAUAGUUAUAGGAGUGCAGAUCAGUAUCAGUGGGCAAUUAUUUUCCUUGUCCCAAUGUUGUAUUAGAAUGCUGUCCAUGAGCUGGAGGAGGGUAGUUAUGCUGACAUUGCAAUAGUCAAUAAGGGGGAGGGGCUGGUUGCAUGCUAUACACACAUUAUAUACCU